AUGUGCGACCGGACCAGCCAAGCCGACCGCCCGACCGGCCGCCCUCCGCCUGCCCGCUCGCCGCCGCUCGUCGCCGGAGUUCCUUGUCGCCGCCGCUUGCCUUCCGUCUUCUUUUCUUCCCCUACCGUUCGACCGCCUAUCCUCCAUCUUCUUCUUCUUGCUGCUGGGCAGAACUGAGCAAACCAGCGGAGCCGAAGAGGUCGCACGCCUCCGCCGUUCACCGCCACCGCACGCCGUUCGCCGUCGCCGCCCGUCCGCACGCGAGCUGCUCCACCCCUCCCGUUCUUGCUUCGUUCGCCACCAGCCGUCGUCCCUCCACCGUCCAGCCGCCCGCUCGUCGUUGCCAAAGCCGCCGGAGGUCUUCCCUAGCCGUCGUGAGUCACCGCCGGUCACCGCUUGAGCCCCCGCCACCUAUCUCCGCCCUUUCCGACCCGAACCGGCGCCGGAUCUACCCUUCCUCGGCCUCAAACCGCCAUGGACAGCAACCAAGAAAAAUGGGUAUGCAGCGGACAUUUGGCCCGUUUUGGCCGCCUUCCCGAGCCCGGAUGCUCGGCCCGCUUUGAGGAAAGUCGAUCCUCGCGUCGUCCCCGUCGUUUUGGUCCGCUCGGCUCGCUAAUCCAGUCCCUAGAUGGCGGUCGUGGAGGACCCAAAGCCCUAAGUCUGGAAAGGUGGAGACUGAAGUAUCGGUGAACGUGUCCUGCUAGUUGGUUUUAGGAUAAUUCCCCAUUCGUUGAGCUGGUCUAUUUGUAGACAGUCCAGAGUUGUAUUUAAACAUAUGUGUUUGUAAAUGAGUGUUUGGUAUGA